rnacentral:rRNA from 1 species
UACGUAGGGGGCAAGCGUUGUCCGGAAUUAUUGGGCGUAAAGAGCUCGUAGGCGGUGUGUCGCGUCGGCCGUGAAAACCUGCAGCUUAACUGUGGGCGUGCGGUCGAUACGGGCAUCACUGGAGUUCGGCAGGGGAGACUGGAAUUCCUGGUGUAGCGGUGAAAUGCGCAGAUAUCAGGAGGGAACACCGGUGGCGGAAGGCGGGUCUCUGGACAGUUCCUGACACUGGAGGCAACGAAGGCCAGGGGAGCAAACGGG